GUGGGGAAUCUUAGACAAUGGGGGAAACCCUGAUCUAGCCAUGCCGCGUGAGCGAUGAAGGCCUUAGGGAUGUAAAGCUCUUUCAGCUGGGAAGAUAAUGACGGUACCAGCAGAAGAAGCCCCGGCUAACUCCGUGCCAGCAGCCGCGGUAAUACGGAGGGGGCUAGCGUUGUUCGGAAUUACUGGGCGUAAAGCGCGCGUAGGCGGACCAGAAAGUUGGAGGUGAAAUCCCAGGGCUCAACCUUGGAACUGCCUUCAAAACUCCUGGUCUGGAGUUCGAGAGAGGUGAGUGGAAUUCCGAGUGUAGAGGUGAAAUUCGUAGAUAUUCGGAGGAACACCAGUGGCGAAGGCGGCUCACUGGCUCGAUACUGACGCUGAGGUGCGAAAGCGUGGGGAGCAAACAGGAUUAGAUACCCUUGUAGUCC
rnacentral:rRNA from 1 species